GCAUCGUCGCCUGGCCAAAGCCGCACUGCAUCGGAGCCUCGCCAUGCCACAGACGUUGACGCCGGUGAGCCCUUCUCCGGCAAGCCCGUCGUCUCCGGUGAGUUCCUUCCCUUCUCUGUUCUUCAUUUCCGUUUUUCUCUAUGUCAUGAUGCUUAGUCGUGCUUCUGCGUAUGUGCCCUGCUGCGUAGCCUCGUCGUGUCGUCUGUGCUGCCGUGCGCAGCACCUCAUCGUGCGCUGCGCCGUGCAACCGUCUCGCGGCCGCGCAACCUCUACGUCGUGCCUCGCAGCAGCCGUCGUCACGCGCCGGAGUCCCGCUGUGUCUCGUCGUGGUUGUUGUGCCUCGCAGCGCCGCACUCGUCGAGCUGCGAGCUCGCCUCGUCAUCGUGCGCCUACGUCGUACCCAGGCCCGCCCUGGCCUCACGCGUCCCUAGUGCCCUGUCAUGGGAGGACCUGGCCGCGCCCCCGGCAACUGCCCAUGCAGAGCGCCGGUUUUCUUCCCCUGGGCACCAUGCACUAGCCUUCCCUACUCGCUCAGCGCGCUGGCGCACACGCCUGUAAGCAGCGUGCCUAGCCACCGCAGCCGCUUGCCCCUUCUCGACCCCUCGACACGGCGUGACCAGCCAGCGCGGCCAGGGCGCGUCUCUGCCCCUCCCCUGUGCCAUGGUGUUCCUACGGUUAUAGUUUGAAGGUUGAAGAAGGUCGUGGUCAUUUUGAUCCCAUGUCUCGUAUUUUUUUUCUAUGCUCACGAUUUUACGAUCCAUUAUGUGUCUAAUCCCUUAGCCAAUUAGAAUGUGCCAUGCCACCUGAACCUUAGCAUUUUAUUUUACGUAAGAGUCUCUAGUCUUUUCCAAAACUAAUUUAUUACUUUAUGUGCCUUGCGAAAUCUAUUUGCUAAUCCCCGAAGAAAAAGGUUGAUUAUGAAUGUGUCCCUGAUUUAUUUCCCUGAUUUAUUAAAUACACGAUACCUUUUGCGUCAGACAUACGAUUUAUUUCGUUAUAGAAGCGUUAGCUUUGUAAUAAGUUCGUGCCCACGUUAAAAAUAUUGUUUCAUCAUGUCACAUGCUUUGGCUAAUUAAUUAAAUGUUUCUUUGACUAAUGCUUAUUAAAUUAGCGUCCCAACUAAAUCUAAUUUAUAGUUUUAACUCAUGCUUUUAUAAAUAUAAAUGUUAACAAGAUUAAUGACAACUUAUAUGCUUUUCAUUUAAUACUCACUUAGUGUAAACAUGACAUCAAUUUAGUAGUUCUAACGUGUGGCACGUGUUGUUUCACGUGCUGUUUGUGCGCUUUUUCGCGCAUUGUCACGCGUGUCGCACGUGCUAUUUCGUGUGUCGUGCGUCACUCGCGCGUUGUUCCACGUGUUGCGCUUGUUGUCGUCGUUUGCGCGUUGUUCGCGCGUUGUCGCGCGCAAUAUUGCAUAUAUUGUCGCGCGCUGUUUGCGCGUCGUCAUUGUUCGUCCGCGCGUUCGCACCGCACGUCUGGUGCGCGUGUUGUCGCGUACUGUUCGCGCGCAUAUCUCGCGUGUCGAUCACGUGUGUCGCGCGACGUCUGCACGUGAUAAUAAAUUUUUUCUCUUAUAAUCACUUAUGUUAAUAACGUUAAUUCGUCUGGUCACAUAUUUUAGAUAAUUAACUUAAGGUUUUCUCGACUAAUAUUUAUUAGAUUAAUAUUCCAAUUAGAUUAAUGUGUAGUGUUCAAUUUGCGCUUUUAUAAUAAACAUUAACAUGGUUAAUAUUAACUCAACUACUUUUUAUUUAUCUAAUAUUUGUUUAGUAUAAACACAUCCUCUAUUUAGUAUUUUCUCACCUGUCGCGCGCGCUGUUCGUGCGUGAUGUGCUUGUGGUCGCGUGCUGUUUCGCGUGUCGUUCGCGCUGGUAGCGCGCACUAUUUCAUGCGUGGUUUGCGUGGUAUGUCGCGCGUGUCCGUGCGUCGAUUGCACGUUGUCGUGUUGUUUCGCACGUCGUAAAUUCGCCCCGCUUAGAAUCUCUCGUGUUAAUUACAUUACUUAUUUAAAUGAUAGCUGUUAGUAUAGCAGAUUAAUCGAAACUAAAUGAUAGAUAUUAUUUAUAUUUGAUAAUGUCAAAUUAAAUGUUAUAGUUAAUAAUUAUUUAGUGUAAUCUCGUUAACUUCUUAACCAUAACUUCGAGUUCGACAUUUUUUUCCUCGCAUGACCGUAAUAGCGAACUCUAUUUCGUAUUGCAUGUUUUGAUUAUGUUAUAUAUAUAUAUAUAUAUAUAUAUAUAUAUAUAUAUAUAUAUAUAUAUAUAUAUAUAUAUAUAUAUAUAUAUAUAUGUUUGUUUGCUUGUUGCCUGUUCGUCUUCGCUUCGCGUUGCAAUUAGAUCGUGAUUCGUUUCCGAGCUUCGAGGAAUCGACGGUCAAGCUUCAGCGACCAAGUGGUCUGGUUCUUCGAGUUCUACAAAGUUGAAGACCCUGAGCAUCUGUUUGGUGAAAGCAAGUGUCCUCUGACCCAUUAUGUCCCAUUCACUUAUAAUUCACUGUCCCACGUUACUUAAUUGAAACCUAAGGAUUGACUAGCUUUGUAUUUACCUUGUCCUUGAUUACCUUUUGGGUUACUAUGGUUAGCUUCAUGCUAUUGCUUUACUUUAAUCAAUGAACAUGAUGUGAACAUUUACGAUACGAUGAUAUCUUGAUUAUGAUGAUGUUCUGGUGGCAUUUUAGGGGACUUAGGCUAUUUUCCUGAGUACCUCUCGAUAAGGACCUGUUCGUUGAGUGACCACCCGGGAAAUCAGUGCAGCCAUGAGGGCGGAAUGGGACGCCCUUAGUUGAAUAAAUAGAUUAACCUGGGGGUGUAGUUGGCUUUGUCGGAGGGCCAUCAAUGGGGCCGGGGCAUAGUGCUCGCUCUGCUAAGGUGGGUGUAGAGGUUUAUUCGAUUUAGUUUUGUUAGUCACUCACUUGGGGAGGUGUACUGCGUUUGUACGACUGGCGAAACCUAAUGAGCAGCUAUGCACUAGGUGAGUCUUUGUAAAGGCUACAUAGUGUAUCCCUGGCCCUUCACCUUAGUAGUGAAGAUCGGGUCUUGCAAACCCAGGCUGGAAAGGGAUCACGGCUCAUGGGUAAAGUGUGCGACCUCUGCAGAGGAAUGAAACUGAUAUAUCAGUCGUGCUCACGGAUAUGAGCGGCCUUGGGAUCCUUUUUUAUUAGAGAUACAGAUGAUCUGAGAUACAAUGGUUCUAUUGAUGGUUUUGGUUACGAUGAUGAUAAUGAUGUUUCCUCGAUGAGGAAAUGGUUCACGGGUUGGUUCUUGCUAAAACUUUGCUUCUACUAAUAAUAAGUACAUGACAAACUAAAAGCAACUGCUUUGACCCUAACCCCACAUAAAGCUAGUCCAUCUCAGCCAAACGGGACAUUUGCUGAGUACGUUGAUGUGUACUCACCCUUGCUUUCACAAAACACUAGGUUGCCUUUGGUGCAAUCUAUGCUCAGGUAAAGAAGAAGGCAUCGAGGUGGACCUCCAGGAGUUCCAGGAUGUUGAUGAGUUCGAGGAUUAGGCUAGCGACCUCCCCCAGUCAGCUGCCUGUGGUGGGUUUAUUUACGUUGGCUACGUUUCUAUUAUGUGCACUUUGAUUCAUAUUAUGUAAAUGACUCUAGUCUUUAAUAUUAUUAUUUACUCUCUAUUGUUAUUUGAAGC
rnacentral:lncRNA from 1 species